rnacentral:lncRNA from 1 species
GUACGUGACCUUCAAAUACAUUCCUUACAAUAUCUGACAAUAGAUUCCAUUGUCUUACUAACUAUAACCAUUAACUCAUAAUAUAAACUCAUUCGAACAGCUUUCCUUUUCCCUUGUUCGUGCCCGAGCCUUCAGGUUGCUCAUACAUAACUGAAAACAUUUAAUUUAAGCAAGGAUGAGCAUUUGAGUGUCCAGCAAGUAAUAGCAAUUAUAUAUAUAAGCUGAAAGAAUAUAAGUAUUCUCUUUACAUAACAUUUCUACAACGAAUCGAAAGUUGUGAAGUAAUCUGUACUGAUAAAAAAUUCACAUAACAACUCUCUUCUAAAUUAUUUAAAUUUGGCUCUGGCUCUACCCAUGAAUAGGGUUUAAGAAACAUACUAUGAACAUUGUUUUUUCAUUUUUUAAAAGGUUUGGCAGAAAUCCAUCACAAACCGUCAUAACUUACGGGCACGGAGGGUGAUCAGCCCCGUUGUACCCUGUAUUGAUCAAUACUACAUAACUUGAACGAAAUUCAUCGCUCACCCUUUGUCCGCCGAAGCGCAUAAAAAUUUUCCCAUUAUCGGGAUGUUCAUACAUGCCUGGUUCCAAACCCGAAGGUUUUUAAUCUUGCUCAACAAUAAUAUGUAAUUCAACAUAUAUGUAUACGGGUAAUUGACAAAGGUAUAUCAACAUGUGAAUAAAUGCCAUGAUUAUCCAAGUGGGGACACUUGUAUAACCAUUUAGAAAUCAACUUAACAGAAU